GCCUCCCAAAGUGCUGGGAUUACAGGCAUGAGCCACCAUGCCCAGCCACAGAUUCCUUCUUGUGUUCAUUUGAAAUGUGAACUCUGAACAAAGGACAGUUUAUCUUGGAUAGUCUUAUUCCAUGAUUUAUAUAUCACUAAAAGAGCAGAGAAUCUGUAGAUAUUAUAAGUGGGAUCCUUAAUAAUUAAUAUAUGGAAAGAGAAGCUUACCAGAUACCAGGAUUUUUCUGCAUUGCCUGGAAAAGGAGGAUAUCUGCAAACUUUUGUACCCUGUGCACUUAUCAGAUUGGACCUCAGAUGGGACCUCUGCCCCACAGAAUUUCUCUUUAAUGACUCAUUGCUUACUGGUCUAAGAAGAAAAAUAAUUAUAGCCUCAGGUUAGAAAAAUUGAAAUUGAAUCAUUUCACAGUCAGAUUAAUGCUCCAUUAGUCCCAUCUAUAUGAAAGGGAGGAGGGAGUCACCAAGUCAGGUUGGAAAUUCCUUGGGAUGAUUGAAUGUAAGGGAGAAAAACUGUGAUAAUUGACAUAGUCAAGGCAAGAACCCAGUUCCGAAGCAAAUAUUUUCUUUGUGUGAGGAAAGGGUACAGUAUUGCUGGUUCUUUUUUACAUAUAAUAUUACUUUGUAUUCUCCCAAUACUUUAUUUUUUUUUAAAAUGGAUAAGAAAUCAUAACCAGUAGAGAGAGUAAAGAAACACAGGUCUAUUUUCUUUAAUGAAUAUCAUCACUCUUGAGUUAUAACUCUAUUAUCUACAGUCUUGUUAAGUGAAAAUUGUUUCCUCAAUAAGAACACUUUUUUAUAGAAGUUGAAGUUCUCUUCUGGCACACAUUAGAAUUCUCCAGUAUUCAUAUUUCAGUUUUAUUCAUGGUGUCAAAAGGAAUUGAUGUGAUAAAAUUUCCAAUAAUGCAAUGAGAAUAUUCACGUUUGUGCAAAUACCAUGGAGAUGUUGAGAAGUAGAGUGAAGGGACAUUAUGUGAAAAGUAACAUCUCACUGGACUCACCAACUCUAAAUCUUACUUUUUUCUUCAGAGAUGAGGUCUCACUCUGUCACUCAGGCUGGGGUGCAGUGGCAUGAUUAUGGCUCACUGCUACUUUGAAUUCCAGGGCUCAAAGGAUCCUACUGCCUCAGCCUCCUGCGUAGGGAGCCAUCAUACUCGGCCAUUUUUUUAAAAAAAAAUUUUUCUGUAGAGACAAGGUAUCACCAUGUUACCCAGACUGAUCUUGAACCCCUGGCUCAAGCAGUCCUCCCACCUCAGUCUCUCACAGUGCUGAGAUUACAGGUGUGAGCCACCAUGCCUAGCUUAAAUCUUGCUUCUUAUAUAUGCAAUUAUUAACAAUAGAAAGCUGUUUUGUAUUACUAGAUUACUUGGUUUUUCAAAAUUUCAACAACUCUUUUUGAUUUUUAAGAAUAUUGGUUAGAAUGGAAGUAUUGGCAUAAGUCACUAGUUUUCAAAAACAUACCCAGCAGAGUUGAAAGCGAAUGUAAAACGCCAUGGCCUGUUGAUUCUAUCAUCGUAUAGAGUAUUUUUCUGCUUAUGUACUUUUAUUGUUUUGGUUUAGAGACAUGUAUGAUUUAUUACACCAGUAUUUUAAAGCACAUUCUCCCUCUUCAUUUCUGCAAUGUACUGUGUCGAACCAACUUCAUAGGUAAAAGUUGUAAAAUAUUGCUAAUUUCACAUGGUUCAGCCUAAUAGAAUCUCAUGCCCUUUUAAGCCUUGGAGAAGGAAAGCCUCUCAUAUUGUCUCCUUCCAGAUUCUUGGCUCAAUCCAAGCUUCUGCAUAGUUGGAGUGGCAAAUCCCACUCCUGCAUCUGGUGAGCUGUGCAGUUAGCAGCUCUGACACUUUUCUACGCUGUUCAAACAAUUACAGCCCCAAAAUGUGAGUGUGGCCUUAAAAAAGGCUGAUUCCAUGUGACUACCAGAUUGCUUCAAGAUCUGCCCAGUCAUCCCCCUGACUGUGUCAUCCCUUAAAAAUCUGUGUCAUCUGGGUACAGAAAAUUAGAAGAAUGUUCUCUUGAUCUCUGCUUAAAUUUUCAGAAUUUUUCCUUUGAAACCACGAACUAGAGAAUUGGAAUUAGACUUAAUGACUUGACUCUAUGUAGUAUAUAUUUCUUUUCUCCAAACACUGUUUUGUAUACAUGAGGAGGGACAAGAAAUGAAGGAAGGGGAAAAGUAUAGCGUUUCAGCCCCAGAAAGGUACCUUUCACAAUGUAAAUGCAGAGUAUCUGGUUAGACAUAGCCAUUUUGCGCACAAGCACAUUCAGAGAUGAAGACAUGCAGUCUCUAAUUGUUUCGUUGUAUCUAAGAGGGUGAAAAUAGAGGUGGCAUAUGAAAAAAACCUUCCAUUUUCAUUGAGCGUACCCAUAUUCUAUGGCAUUUCUUACCAGUCAGUAGGAGUUUUUUUUCCUACUGAUCAGUACUACUGAAUUACCCAAAGGCAAAAAUAUUCCCUAUUGUUUCUUUGUUUUCUAACUUUGUUCUCUAGCUUCUAGGUAGAUGUUAACUUUUUGGUAUUUAAAUGUGCACACUCCCUGAGACCAAACUGCCUCAGCAAGUUUUACUUCAAUAUUAAUGGGCAAGAUGAAUAUUGUUUGAUGUUUCACUGUUAGCAAAAGGGAGGAGAAAGAACUAGAACUAAGUUCAAUUGAACCAUUACUAUGCAGGGUCUAUACAGUCAUGAUUAUUAUCUCAGAUUCCAAAUUCUGUUUACCAAAAAUUAUGAUUAUCAAAUUGUUAAGAUAGUAAAUUUUAUGUGUAUUUUUACCACAAUAAAAAGUUGGAAAAAAUGAUUUGACUAUAUCCAAGUUUGCAGAGUUGGUAAGUAGCUUUUUAUUGCAAAAAACUUGCUGAUUUGUGAAAGAACCUUCAUUUCCAAAUUAGGAAUAAUUUCCUGCAAGGAAAGACUAUGCUGUGUGUGUGCCUGUGUGCUCUUGUGUGUGUGUGUGUGUGUGUGUGUGUGUGUGUGUGUGUAACUCUUCUGUUGUGAAUCCAUCAGUGGUUUUGCAUUGUUUACAGGAUAAUGCUCAGAAUCCAUAACAAGGUCAGUAAACUCAUCUAUCAUUUCCUAGGCAUGUCUGUUAUCUGAUCUCUAGCCUUUCUUCUCCCAUCGUCGCCAAGUUUAGUUCUACUUGACUUCCUUCACUUCCUUCCCAUUGACCUAGGGAGCACCUCUAAGACUGAAAGGGAAGUCGUGGGCUUGGUGGAGUUGAGGUGGGGAAUCUAUGAACAGAUAAAUCAGAUAGAAGCAUUGUUUGGUAGAAAGAAGAGCUCAUGAGUGGCAGUAGAGAUUGAGUUAAAGAGUGGGAUGAAAAAGAAUCAAAAGGAAGUAGUACGAUUUGGUGACCAAUUUGUUAGAAGGGAUGAGGGGCAGUAAGUAGUCAGUGAUGACCCCGAGGUUUCUAGCUGGACCUAGAAUUGUCCAACUAGUCCAAAAAUGAAAAAAUUUGCCUUUAACUAAGAUGAGUUUGACAAAAGAUGAAGUAAAUUUGAGGGUGUAGGUAAUGAAAACAAGUUGGCUUUUUCUCCCUUGAUGGCAAAUUUCAGUGUGUAUGGAUGUAUACAUUUGUGUAUUUGUGUGUUUGUCAAUACCCAUUGAUUUUUCUUAGGUUAUAUUCAAAUACUGAAGUUGUACUAAUUAAGCAACCGAAGUGUAUGCUUUCAGCAUGGUACCUUUCACACAGCACCAAACAUCAUUAUAUUAUUUUCUAUUGUAGCAUAACAAAUCACAACAAAAUUAGCAUCUUAAAACAAUACACAUUUGUUACUUUACAGUUUCCAUGGGUCAGGAGACUGCACUUGACUUAGCUGGGUUUUCUGUUCAGGGUCUCAAAAGGCUUUAAGAAAGGUGUUGGCCAGGAUUGGGGUCUCAUUUGAGGUUCUGGCUCCUUUUUCCAUAUCAGGUGGCUGUUGGCAGAAUCAAUUUCUUAACCACUGUAAAAUUCCUUGAAGCUUGUUUCUUCAAGGUCAGCAGGAGAAAGAAACUCUGACUUCUGACUUCUAGGCCAUUUUUUGGAGAGCUAAUCACUUGCUUAGACCAGACCAACCCUGAAUAACCUUUGAUUAACUUAAAGUCAACUGAUUAAGGAUGCUAAUUACAUUUGAACAAUCCUUUAACUUUGCCAUAUUCCACUGGUUAAAAGAAAAUUACAGAUGUUGACCAUCUGGGAGGAGAUAGUGUAAGGGCCUGAGCUAUUGGAGAUCAUCUUAGAAUUCUGCCCACCACAAUCGUGUUCUAUGUUUAUGCAGGUAUAUGUGUGAGUGUGUAUUUAUGUGUGUAGUUAAUAACUUAAAAAAUGAAUUACAUGUAUCCCAAAACAAGCGGCAACUGCACAUCCCAUGCCUUCUUACUUGGAUUAGUUUUUCCUGAAGUUACUCCAGGGUCCUGUCUUCCCAUUGUUAGGUUUCCUUUCUGCUGUCCUGGCUUCACCUUUCGUAGCCAAGAAAGCACUAAAUUUGGCUCUGAAAUGUACAUUUCAGUACAAUCUCCCUGUCUUGGCAGCAGUGGUGAGGCUUUAGCAAAUCGUUUGUGAUCCCAAAUGAGCUUCAGCAGUUUGGAGUGAGGCCAUGGCCCACAUGUUUGAUGCCACCAGCCUGAUUUUUGUAAUGAAAACUAUAUCAAUAAGGUAAGUAGUCCCUUCUUAGGCAUGCAUUCUUUUCCAAUUUUAUGUAGUGGUCAGUCAUUCUUACAGUGAUACAAAUAAAUAUUUAUGCUUUCAUGUCUUUUAAGCUUUUAGCAACGUUAAAAGAAAAGGAGUCUGUAAUGAAUGAAAUUGUCCCAUUGAACUUAUUUUUUCAGCUUUUGAGGAUAUAUCGAGUGUACUUCUUAAAACUGAACAUGUGCAUUUGUUACAUUUAUAUAUGUUUCCACAUAUCACUUUGUAAAAGAAUUAGAGAGAGCUUAUGAAAUAGAAUUUAAGUUGAUUUGGUAUGAGCAAAAUAUAUUGUUGGAAUGAAGCAAAGGAAAGAAAGCAUAAGAGCCAUCAUAGUUAAUUCUGUUUAACUUGUUUUAACUCUAUCAAGGUUGGGCCAAUGUGGCAAUUUAUUAAAUAAUUUGCUCUCAUUAAUGCAAAAGAAGAAAUGUUCCUUAGGGAAAAACAUGUUGUCUUGGGUACAAAAUUCCAGCAAUGUUUUUUACCACAUGAGACUUUAUGGAAAAUUCCAGAUAACAGACCUUGCCCUAAUGGUAUGUGGGCAACAAAUCCAGAAGUAUCUAUCAUAGCAUUCUUUCUUAUAACAAAUUUUAUUAGAAGCCAAGGCUAGAAUGUUGAAGCUGGACUCCGGGCAGGUGAUUCAAAUGCCAUACUAUUACUUUCCUAGCAUGGACAGUUCUGGUUAUUAACUCACUCUUACAUAAAACUUUUAGAACCAGAGGAUUGGAGGGAUGCUGACAUUCCUUAGAUAUCUUAGGUAAUAAUCCUGAAAAUUCACUUUUCCUGAAGUUUUUGAUAGCAGAUAGUAAGAAAAUUUCACUUUAAAACUCACUUUGAGGACCUGAAAUGUUAUAUUCCACUUUGCUGAUUGAGGUCAAGGACUAUUGUUUGAACCUCAAACAAGCAGGUGGUGAGGUUCACUUUCAACUGGUAAUUACGAGAAAACGAACCAUUAUGCUAGAUGCAAGGCCACCUCAUCUUGCAUCCGGUAAACAUGCCAACAAAAACACAAACAAGUGUCUGUAAUACCUUUCAACAGCUCCCUGUUGCUCUCAUUAUAAAUAUGGAAAUCCUUACCAUGGCAUUCAGGAAUCUGCAUGAUCUGAUGCAUGUGUAUAUUGACAGCACAUCUUGUAUCAUUCGUGACAUCACUCUCUAUUAUUUGGCUGAUUUUGACCUAAUUCAGCACUUGGAAACCACCAUACUCACUCCUGCCUUGGAGUUUUUAUGCAUACUGUUUCCUCUACACUGAAUAAUACCUCCAAACCCUACCGUCACUGCCUAUUAACCCCCUACUUCUCCUGUUUCUCAGUUCAAAUCUCCCUUUUUCUGAUUAUGUGUCUCUGAUUCUCCAAAUCUUGCCAGUUGGCCCUGUUAGGGACUCUCAGAGCUUACUGUAGUUUUAUUUCAUCCAUAGCAGCUUAUGAGAUUUUUUUCAUUAAUGUCUAUUAGCCAGAUCGUCAGCUCCAUGAAGGCAGGUUGCAGGCUUGUUUUUCUGACCACUCUAUCAUCAACCCAGAGCACAAUAAAUGAACAUAAAGUGAAUUCAAUAAAAAUGUGCUGAAAGGAUAAACUACUGUUAUUUACUACAUUAAUUACAACUUUUGUUAGCCCCUUACAAAAGAUGCUUUCUUAGAUGCUGCAUUUCCCAUUCUACAGAGGUUGAAUAAUAUGACUAUGAUAGUUUUAGAGGAGAUGGGAAAUAGUUUGGUAUUUCUUAAAUUAAAAUAUGAAUCUGUUAGAGCUAGAAUUUUAUUUUCUGAAAGAUAAUCUUGUUUAGCCAGUGUGAGAAACUACAUUACACAAAGAACAUUUUGCUAGUAUUAUUUCGCAGGAGAACUAAACUUGGUAAACUGUCGUUCCUAGAAGAUUGUUUUUAUCAGGCACCGUUGCCUUCUUUGAGCUUUAUGAACUCAUGUUUUAGGACAGUUAGACAUUACUGAUGGAGUUAGAGAAUACUAGAAAGUGAACUUCAGCUAAAGAAAGUGAUCUUUUUUCUCUAAUGGCAAUUCAGUUGCAAAGUUCUAUUUUUAUUCUAAGGGGCUCAUAGAGGGUGGUCCCCAGGAUUCUCUUAGGGGUCUGUGAGACCAUACAUAUUUUCAUAAUAACACCAACAUGUCAUUUGUAAUUUUCACUGUACAUUUUCUCAGCAGAGUUCUCCAGAAGCUAUACAAUGUGAUGCAUAUUAUUUCAUAACAGAUUGAAUACGGAAGCAGACAUGAGAACCUAGAUGUCUUCCAUUAGGUGGCACAAAUAAAAAACAUUGUCACUCUUCUCACAGUUUUUUGGAAAAUAGUUAUUUUUACCGAAAAUAAAUUUAUUAUAUUUUUUGAAAAUGAAUUAGUAAAUAAAUAUUUAUAAUUGUCUCAGUUUUAAGAUGGCAAAUAUUCCACAUAAACAAGAAAUCUGUGAGUCUUCAAUAAUUUUUAAGACUAUAAAGAGAUUCUGAUACCCAGAUAUUUGAGAAUCACUUCUCCGAGCCAUUUUAUUGACACAAUUUUACUUGACUUUGCAACCUGACCGUUUUAGAUACCUUUUCUUUCCAGUCUUUUCUAAAAGAUCAAUUGAUUAAUUGGGUUGACUCGAUGAUACAAGCACACGAUCUUCAGUAUCAAAAGAUACUCAUGACCAGUAAACCCCUCUUUAGUUCUCAAUUAUCCAAUUCCCUUUCCUGGAGGCAACUGCUACUCUUGUAUUUCCUAAUGGAGAUCUUUUAUGUGUUUACUCAAAUGCUAAGACAUAAUAUAUCAUAUUCUGCUUCCUGCUUAUCUUCCCUAAUGAUAUAGCAAGGAGAUUGAUUCCUAACUCUGCAUGCAAAUCUGCCAUAGUGCUUUUAGCAAUUGCAGUAUCGUCCAUGAUCUGGAUGAGACAUAAUUUCACCAGACUCCUGUUGGAGUCUGUUGGAUUGUUUCCCAUCCUUUGUCACUACCUACAGUGUAGUGAUGACUAUUCUUUUACUUAUUUGUUCAUGUAAAGUAAAUAUAUCUCUAGAAUUAAUAUUUGGAGGUGGAAUUCCCAAGUCAAAGGAAGGAAAUACAUAUUUUUUAAAAGGAUUUUAGUAGAUUGUUCUGAAAAAAAUUACACCAAACUUACCCUCACAUGACUAUUUUUGCUUUUUCUCAGUAUACUUUUUAAUAGAUUGCAUUAUAAAAUUUUAAUAUUUACCAUUUAAAUAAGUGAAAGCAAUGUCUAAUUGCAGUUUUAAUUUUAUUUUUAUUAAGGAAGUUAAUCUUUUUUUUUUAGCUGAAGUCGAAAAAUAUGUUCAUCUCUUUUUCAUUGAAGCUCAUUAGUUUCCAAAAAUGUGUCCUCAUUUCAUACAAAGUAUCUUUGAACCAUUGCCAGGUCAUAGAAGUGACUCUUGAAGAUCUUCUUCUCUGGGAUCAAGGGUCACAUCUCGUUCUCCUGGCUUCAUACCCUUCUCUCUCUACACAUCUCAAUUAAGUAAGCUUCCUUUCUUAUCCUCUGAAAUUAUAAUCAUCUUUAGGCUCCCAGAUAUAGGUGACCUGUGCCAUCUAGUCUGACUUCCAGUUUGCAAAUUAUCUUCAAAAAGUGGAAACAGCUUUUACUUUCUACUUUAUAAAUUCAUACGUGCUCAGGAGGACUUUUAUUAAGAUUGGGACAUAUUGCUUAGUUAGUCUCUAGGGUGGAAUCAUAAUUAAUGAAAGAACUCUGUCUGAUGGAAGGCUUAGUCUAACAAAUCAUCCUAAAACUUCAUUAGACAUUGUGUAAUCCCCAUGGACACUGUUGAAGAGACACUUGAUUAGGCAGAUCGUGACAACUUCAGCUUUGCCCAUCAUACAUCCUCCAGAGACUCCUCAAACUCAAGACAGACUUUCUACAGGAAGGAAUGGCUGUUUCUAUUUCAGAAUAUUACUGAUACCAGAGCUUUGCUGCAUCUUCAUGUACUUUCCUUUAUUUUUAUUUUUAUUUUUUUACAGACAAAAUCUUGCUCUGUUGCCCAGGCUGGAGUGCAGUGGCAUCAUCAUAGUUCACUGUCACCUCAAACUCCUGGGCUCAAGUGAUCCUCCUGCCCCAGCCUUCCGGAGUGCUAGGAUUACAGGAGUGAGCCACCACACCCAGUCUUCAUGUACUUUCUUAUGUAAAUUUAUUUUGUUUGAGAUUUUCUUUGUGAUGGAAUAAGCAAUUCCUUCCUUAACUCAUUUCCCGAGACAUUUUUGGAAUUUGCAAUAUAUAUGAAAAAGCACUUAUUCUCAGUGAUGGAAACACCAUUAUUUCUUUUACUAGAAUGUGAUCUUCUGGUUUUAAUAUUUAUGUCUCUGUGCCAAGGUGAAAAUAUUGUAGAAAUGAAAGUAUAAUGAGAGAGAAUCCAGAUAAUAAGAUUUUCAAUAAACAAAAAAAGAAGUAUGUAUAGGAGUCCUGUCUGCUGCAAAUUUUAAGAAUGGUUUUCUGUCAACAUACAGUUGUCAUUGCUUACUGAAAACUUCUAUAAAAAACAAGACACAAAUGAUUGAGAAGAUAGUAGAGACUGAAACUAGAACUGUUGAUUUAAUAAGCUUUCUUACUCAUAUACUUAAUCCACAGUAAAUUAUUAGCAAAUUACAUUUUCAUAGUAUUUCAGAAUUAAAAGAUCAUAGUCAGGGCUUAAAGGAAUCCAGUUGUUUUAACAGUGCUGGAGGCAAAGCGUUCUAGCAGCAAUCACCUGUCAGAAUGACUUAGGUUGGAUUGUUUGCACCACACACUUUACUAUAGUUACAUGUCUUUCAUGUCCCUUUGUAUCUCUGACUCAGUUUCCUCAUCAGUGGUAAUAGCAGAACUUACAUUUUAGUGGGAGGAUUAAAAUAAUGUACAUGAAAUCAAAUAUAUAAGUCAGCACUCAAUAAAUAAUAGUUUGUCAUCAUUAUUACUAUAGUAAAUGACCACUAUCUGAAAUGGGAUAUAAAAAGGAAAGUGAAAUUACUAAAUAAAUAUGAGCGUACAAAGACCUGACAAUUUAGAUACAAUAUACUCACUCUGUCUCAAAAUAGUGUCUUCUGAAGCUUUAGUCAGAAUAUUAUGGUGACAUUUCUGCUAGAUUUGUCAUUGAGUUGCUGGGUUUGGGGAAGAACCUAGGCUACACAUUUCUCUUGGCUCUACAAAAGGCUGUGGCAGUGGGUCCCUGAGUAAACCACCAGAAGAAACCUAAGGGGCACCUCUGUUUUUCAGUUAAUCAGUUUUAGCUCAACUGGGAUUUAAUCCUGAAAAUCUAAAUUACAUUUACAGACUUUAAGUUAUUGUGAAUAUUUACACUACAUGGGAGAAUUACCAAAAUAUAUUCGUUACUCAUACAGUUUUCGAAAAACAGGUGAGACAUCUUCCAGUUAAAUUCAUCUUCCUUUUAUGUUUAAUCUAUUGAAGAAUUCUAAACAUUGUUUUGCACCAAAUUGCUCCCUUAAGUUUUAAGAGCCACCUAGUUUGGGCAUCAGAUGUUCUCCUUUAUUUCUGUAAAAAUCUUGCAAAUUCACUCCCAGAAAGAAAUGUAGAGAAUACUAGGCUAUUUCACAGAAAAGGCUUGCUGCCCUUUCCUGAUAACAAGGUAGUUAUUAUUCUUGGCUGAGCCUGUCCCAGAAAGAGUCUUAGGUGACCUGGUGUGGGAAUUGCUAAAUCUCAGGCUACUCACUGAGACUGUCUGCUGCUGUGCUGGGCACUGCAGUCCUCCAGAGCAGGCCUGUCAGCAUCCUACCGUGCUCUGAGUAGGUCCACUGGGGAACCUGGUGGAGUGACAUCAUGUAUCAGCCUCUAGCAGCAACUCCUCUCUGUAGCCCCAUGUCUUUCCUGUGGUACAAAGGAACAAGUGCUACAGGGCAUGUCUGUAAUCGUUAUCCCAAGGGCACGCUCCACAGGCAUCUAAGGGUGAAAGGUACUGCCAGUCUGUUGGGUUUGUUAUUUCCAUAGAGCUACACAGGAAAUAACACCACCAAAAAUAACACAUUCAAACUCAGAGGGCAAUCUUCCCUAACUAUUCAUAGGCACACGUCAGGCAUUCUAUACAUAUACCCAGCUCUUUGCUAAGCAUAGUGAAAUGCCCUUUUACAUUGCAAUUAAUUAUUAGCCAACAUUGAAUAAUUAUUGGUGAGAGGGUAAAGGGCAAGUGAAAUAAAAAUAGAGCUGGUUUAUUUUUAGGAAGACACUAUUUUAAUGUGUUGAUUAAUCAGACAGGUGUUUAAAAGCAUUUGUUAGAGUCAAUUCACAGAAAAUCUCUUUUACAUGCAGGUUACAGCCAAAGAAAGAAAUAAUAGCCAACACAUUUACGAUUUCAAUUGCAAAAAUUGUCAUAUUUUUGAACUUGUGUGGGUAUUUGAAAAUAUUAGCUCCUACUAGGUCCAGUUAAAGCUUUUAAUUCUAUAAGGUUUCAGACUACCAGCUGACCACUGCUCAGCAUCCCCUGGACUCCAAGGGUUUCAUCUAAGACAUCUAAGGAGAAUGUCUACCCGCACAUCGCACUAAUGCCCAUGACUGCACUGCUUGAACCAUGAGGUUAUUGAACAGAAAGCAAAUCCUUUUCUGAAGAGCCUCCAAGAUGUGGAUAUUUCAGUUAAUUUCAGCUCCCUGCCAGCUCAGAAGAAUGAUGCUGUGCUGUGUGCUGUUCCCAUGAAUACUACACGCAGGGCACUGCUCAGUGACUCAGCCUUCCAGGGAGCCAGUCAGGGUUUUGAAGCUGCAUCGUCCCUUUCAUCCUUGAAGUUCUUUUGGAUUUCAUCAAUGGCAUGGAGGGAUAUUUUUAAAACAAUGGAGAUUUUUCAGGACUGGCAAAAGGGCUCCCCUCGUCACAGUGCCAAAACCAUCACAAACAUAAGUUAUGUUAAAAAAAAUCCUAAACUAAAAAUAUCUGGUACUUAGGGAACUAAAAGACAUCUCAUGUUUGCUAUCAUUUCCAUCAGAGCUCAGGUCAAUGGACAGAGAUCAAUACCAAAACAAACAUGCAUACUUAGAGCAUAAAUUCAGAUAAAUGCUGGAGAAUUAACAUGUAGAUAGAAGUACCAUCAUGCCUAAAACAAAAACUCAGUCCAAUGGUUGUUUCAGUGAACUGACUAGCCUUCAUAGAGAAAAGUUUAUUCUUUUCAAACUGAAGUUAAAAGAUAUUCGGUGCUUCAUUCGAAAUUUUCUAUUUCAUGAUUUUUGAAGUAGUGAUUUAGAACUCUUUAGGACUAUAGAAAAUCAUUUUUCUUCUAAAAUGUUGUCUUAGUCCUAAAUUAGAAAAAAAAAUAGUAAGAAAUUAACAAAACAAAAAGUUAAUAGUAUUAUUCACAUAUAUAAAUAAUGGGCCAUCAUGGUAUCUGAUUUUGAUAAAAGGAAAAUAUACUCUGGGAUUAUUUUUCCAAAUUCUGGCACUCUAUUUAUGAGUACCUAGACAGACACUAGAGUCUCAUGGAAUUUAGUAUUAGAAAUGCUACUUUGGAGUACAUUUGAUGUCAUUCAAGUUAAAAAAUUAAGGAAGUAGAUUUUCAAAAUAGGUAGCAUAAAAUGUAAAAUUAUUGAAUGUUGGAGCAAGAAGAUCAUCUAAUGCCCUAGCAGUUCUUAAUGUUGCUUGGGUCAUGGAUCCCUUAAGAACACGAUAAGAGUUUACCUUCUUCCUCCCUAGAAAAUAUACUGCUUUUUCUUUUAUAAUUAAAACAAUAAUAUGAAAGUUAAUCUUAGUCCAGAAGUCCUAAUAGCCCAAGAAUAGAAAUGUCAAAUUCAUCUCAUAUCAUUAGUUUGUAAUUUUCCGUUGCCCUUUUAAUUCCAAUAACACAGAAGCUGUAAAACUGCUUGUCAUCUGACUUUUUAUUUGUCAUUACCCAAUUGAGCUUCUUAUAUUACAGAUAAGGAAAUUGAGGCACAGAGAUAUUAAGAAACUUUUCCGCAGGAAAAAAAAUCUGCUAGUUAUUGAGCUGGGAUUCAAAUUCAGGUAGCUGAUUCUAGUGUGCAUGUGCUAACCACAGCACAUACUGUGGCUAACCAUGCCUACACUCAUGCUCAAAACUACGCUGUGAUAGGUCUUAUUAGCAUCCCCAUUUUACAGACGUGGAGAUUGAGGUGUAGAGUGGUUAAGUGACCUGGCAAAGGUGGCAAAACUAGCAUCACAGUCAGCCAGUCUGGUUCCAGAGGUAGGAACUAAACCAACACACUGCCCUUCACAUGCCUGUGUGUGAGUUCGCACACCCACACAAUACAUGAAUUUGUACAUAUGUAUCUUAGAGGUCAGGGUAAGCUGAGGAUACGCAUGACAAAUGGGAUUAGAUAUGACUUUUUCCUUCUUUCUUUCUUAGUUUUCUAAUUAUUUUGUUUUAAGCAAGCAUUAUUUUGGAAUAAAAAUUAUAAAUAUUAUUUUUAAAAAGCAAACAGGUUGAUAACUUAAAAUGUGUUAGCUGGUGAAACGUCCAGCCUUAUGGAGUAGGCCCCUGAGGUAUAGAAAUGGUUUUGAUGGCAUAGGAUGUAGCCUUGGGAAUGUCCUGGAAGAGUAGGAGCGGCCAGUUAGGCAUUAACACUCAGGAGUAAGGAGACUGCAUUUGGGAUGCUCAGCUGAUUGGAGGGUGGUGUUGAGUGGUCCCCUGGGCAGUGAGAAGAGAGGCCAAUAGCACUGGCACAGGAGGACAAGCAAGUUGUUCUAAGUAAACUCUCAAAUGAACUGAGAGAUAAAAACUCUAAAUUUGGACUGCUUCACAAUUUGCCUAAGGCUGGCCCUACUCAGGCCUUUGCCAGCUGUUGUUUUCUUUUAAGCCUCUGAUCUGCAGGAAAACAGUCCUGAUUUCACAAAGCUUUAACAGAAUUUUUAUAAACGCAGAUUUGGGGCUCCAUAUCCACAAAGUUUUCCAUCCUUUAUUUUGAGAAUCUGCAUAUUUAACAAUGAUCCUCCCCAAGGAACUGCAAUGCAAAUGUCCAAAUACAGUCCUUGGUAAUAUGUGUUUUCACAGGGUGAAGUUUUUGUCCAACACUGUGAGAUGAGAGCUGGGGGAAAAAAAAUGAACAUUAACCAUAGAACAGGAAUGCAAAUUUUCUGAAAAGUAGAGCGCUACUCCUCUCCUCUCUUUUUCUCCAUAUAAUUGAAGAGACACUCAAAUUGAUUGUUUUCCCAUUGUUUCGAAUGGUUGCUCCAUGUAAUUACUGAACUGAACUGGUAGUUUGGGGGGAAUAGGGGAAAUUCAGAGAAUGUUGUGUAGAAGUAGAAGUCUACCUAUGUCAAUGACCUAUUUUAGCAUUUUUCUCUAUUAACUGGCUAACAAUUCGCUUGGAAACUCCUCCAGCUGAGGCUUUGUUAGGCUUUGCUGAAAAUAAAUUAGGUGACUCAUUAAAUUGUUGCUGGAGUUAAAAAAAAUUAGGCUUAUUGAUUCUUAAAUUUCUGCUAAAAAUGUUGCUAAAUUAAAUAUAGGUUAUUGUCUUUAUCAAAACAAAUAACCCACAGCUUCUGUAUUGCUUUAUCUGUAUUCAAAAGUUUGGGCCGGGCGCAGUGGCUCAUGCCUGUAAUCCCAGCACUUUGGGAGGCUGAGGCGGGUGGAUCACCAGAGGUCAGGAGUUCGAAACCAGCCUGGCCAACAUGGCGAAACUCCAUCUCUAGUAAAAAUACAAAAAAAAAAAAAAAAUUAUCUAGGUGUGGUGUUCGGGUGCCUGUAAUCCCAGCCACUUGGGAGGCUGAGUCAGGAGAAUCGCUUGAACCCGGGAGGCAGAGGUUGCAGUGAGCCAAGGUCGUACCAUUGCACUCCAGCCUGGGCAACAGAGCGAGACUCCAUCUAAAAAAAUAAAAAAUAAAAAUAAUUAAAAAAAAAAAGUUCGAACAACAAGGUUAUGUUAGCAUUUAUCAGAAACUAAUGAUAAUUUAUGUGGUAUUAAGUAGGGUAGUAUCUUGAAUGAGAAAGAAUACUGUAGUUUGGAUUCUUUGGAGGACCUUCGGUUUAUAUUUUAUUUGCAAUUAUGUUUAUGCUUAUUAUUUCUGCUUACUUUGUGACUAAAAGCCAGUUAAAUGUGAUUCUCAGAUUUCAUUUUCAGUGUUUUUAUUAGAAUGUGGUCUUUUAGGAUUUAAACCUAUUUUCAUCUUGCAAGUAUAUAUUUUAAAAGUGAUUCAUUUAAAUAUUCUGCUCAGCAAUUAGCACAAAUGUUGUCACUAAAUUAUUACAAUAGUAGCUAUUAACUUCAAUAAGUAAAAUAACAGUUCCCUAUUGUAUAAUAUAUUUAGAAAAAAAUCACUUAGUGGGGUGCAUGUAUGUGGAACAAGGUGAAGACUACCUAUCUCAUCACAGAAUUCCUCAAUUAAGAAGAAAGUGCUCUUAAUUACAUCCAAUGGCAUCAUUUUCAUGAAGAUAAUCAAUAACAAGUGACUUAUUUCAGUGUCUCAAAUUUUCAAGUUUAUGCAUCCAUCUACUUCACAGCAUCCAUCUCCAUGGGCCCCAGGCUGAUUCUUGUUAUCCUUGCUCAACCUAUCCAUUCUCACAGUAAAAAGCCAUGAGAGCCAUUAUUUUUUAGGAAAUGUGACCCAUUAUCCCCAAAUCACUGGGAAAAUCACCUUACUCGACGGGUCCUUAUAGCUAUCCCUAAUAUCUUGUUGAUUUCUCCUUUAACCUUUUUACUAUGCCAAUGAAAAUGGAGCAAUGUAUAACUCAAUAAACUCCAAUUCAACUGUCAAAUAUCCCUUUCUUCCCAAAUUCUGUUUAAGAGUCUGUGGGCCUCUUCCAACUACAAUCCCUGCACACCCAUCCUUAGCAUUAGCCAUUGUACUUUUAGAGGACCAAUUUGUAAACUUGAUCAUAUCAAUCUUGAAAUCUAGGAACAAAGAACCAAACUGAUAAGCUCUUAUAUCCACACUCAGGAGCUCAUCUUCCCUGAUUACCUUGGGCUCCAAGUACCACUUUCAUGAGUGCCUCACUUGUGUAGAAUCUCACCAUGGUACAGCUCAUCACACCAUUUUAUUAUCCAGCAGUGGAAAUGUAAAUUCAUAUCCUUUUAACACUCACAAAAGGAGUCAAUUUCAGUCAAUUUUUAGGAAAUUUGGUGAAAAUUUAGUUGGUUAUUAUCCUGUUCUUCAAAAAGCACAUCAUUAGACAUACUUUUAAAAAACCAGAGAAUAAUCUUACCUUAUAAAGACAAAUGACACAUGUUGCUAUGAGUUUAGGGGAGGGUUACUAACCUUAUUAUCAUGUGAACUGUUUGGAAUUACCUUUGAACCCUCUAUACAUGGAUUUCUGUCGGAGGCCUAAGAACUCCUUGUCAGGAGAAGGAAAUGGUAGAAAUCAGAUGAAUGGUGAAGUAUGACCAUUAGAAACCACCCUCUAUACACCUACACUGCCUAUUUUUACAUCAAACAUAGCGAACUGUCCUUUAGGAAGCAGAAAAGGCAGAGCUGAGGAAAUGAGAGGCACCUCUCAUGUCUUUAAGAAAACAACUAAGUGGCAAUUUCUGGAAAAUAGGUUAUUGUUUGUCAGGUAUUAGCCUGAAAUUUUGCUUGAAUUGUUUCUCCCUAGGAAAUGAAAGAUGUUCACUUCUUAGUUGUUUUGGAAAAACAAAUACUUACUAAAGAUUAUAAUGGCUAUCAAUUUAAACAAACAGAUGCUUUUAGUGUCUUUGUGAAUAACACUAGUGAAUUUGCAAGAAUUAUUGCUUUACCAACAAAGCAUAAAUUCCCAUGUUGCUUCAGUACUUGUGCAGUGUUUGUUCUGGAGCCUCUAUUCAAUAUCAACCAGCGUAUAGUAGUUCCUCCGUGAGAGUCUCUUGUAAAAACUUACAUUCAUUCUUGUUAUUAUUUUAUCUGAGUGAAUAUUUGACAAAGACCAAAGAAAUCCCCUUGAGACUGGUACCCAUUUUCUCUAAUUUGAAAGAUAUUGACUAAUUUUGUUAGAUCCCACCAUGAAGGCAAAAGGAAAAUAUAUUAGCUAUCACUGUGGCUUAAAACAAGAAAUUAUUUAUUAUUUUUAACAAAUCUGAGGGGCAACUGGUGUUUGGUUGAUCUAUGUUGAACUUAUGGAUAGUUAUGUGAGUGUCAGAUAGAAUCAGACAUCUAUGUGAGCUGGCGCAUCUCCAUUCCACAUUCUCUCUCAUCUUUCUUCUGGGACUGAUGAGCUUGCCUGGGUGUGUUCUUCUCGUGGAGAUGGAAGAGGUGGAAGAAAACAAGCCCAACACAAAAGCACAUUUUCAAGUCUCUGUCAUGACAGUUACUGACAUCCCGUGAAUGAGGGCAAAGACAAGCAGUGGGGCAGGUCCUCCCACCCUUGAUGGGAGGGCUCAGAAUGAAUACAUAGAUGCAAGGAGUAGGGAUUUGGGGCCAGAUGAUACAUCCUACCACAGAGAGGUAGGAUACAGGGAAAUUCUAGGCCCUCCAGUCCCUUUGCUCCAAAUAAUCACCAUAGUUGAGACUUGAACUAUGAGAGCAUCAAGUAGGAAUGCCAGGUGAGCUUCAGCUGCUGCCCAAGUGUCUAAGAACACUCAUUCACCUCUCAGAUACUCACAUACCUAUGAAAUGCACCAAUUUUAUAUCAUGAGCCAAAGUAAAACUCAGAAUCAUUGAAAUAUUUGUCUUUGCAUAGAAAGAGUCCCAUAUGGAAACAACCCAGCCUACCUGCUUGACUUCCUGCCUGCCUGCAUGCCUCCCUACUCCCUCCCUCCCUCGCUACUUCCUUCCUUCCUUCCUUCCUUCAUCUCUCCUUCCUUCCUUCCAUUCUCCCUACUUCCUGACUGCCUAUGUGCUUUCCUCCCUCCCCCCUUCCCUCCCCCCUUCCUUCUUUCCUUCCUUCCUUCCUUCCCACCUUCCUUCCUUCUGCUCUCCCUCCUUUCCUCCAUUUCUCCCUCUCUCCCUUAUAUUUCUUCAAUUCUUAUCAUUUGAGUAUCUAGUUAAUGAGUUCUCAUUUGAUGUUAUAGAUUUUUUUAGCUCUUCCUCACCUGUAUUCCUUGGAGUAAAUUUUAUGAAUCUUAGAAACAGAGUCUGGCUGAUAAAUUUAUUGGUGCAUCAAACUCAUUGAGAAAUGUCUUCCAGUUUCAUCUUCCAAAAUGUUACUAGUUCUAAAGGUAGUGGUUGAUAGUUCACACAAAAAAAUCAAUACUGAUUCAGAAAUAACUUGCUCAUCAGGGAAAUAAACCUGGAAGGUUUUAGUCAUAAUUUAUUUAUAAUCCCUCCCUUUGUGAUAUUCAGAGAUGAAAUUUGAGGUGAAAAAAUUCAAGUAUUCUUUUUCAUAUAUUUUGAAAAUAUAAGAGUCUUUGAUGUAUUCUGGGAGCUAGCAUCUUGAAAAGAGGAAUAAAAAAUGACUUAUCUGGAGUUAGGAAGGUGCUAGUCCAUCACCCAUAAACCAGUUAAAGAGAUAAAGGUGAUUUAUCAGAAAGUACAACAAAAGUGAUAACAAUAGAAUAUUAUUCUCCAUACCAAGCAAGUUACAGGUAUCCCCUGCUCUGGACAAAUGCGUGAUGUGUAAACCCAGAUUGACCAAGGGCAUAAGGGAGAUGUAGAUCUGUAGCUUUAGCACACAUGACCAAGGUGGUGCACUUGGUGUAGGCUCUCGGCUGAUUGCUGACUUUGCACACUUGCGGGGCAUUUCAUGAAUCUAAAUUCGGGAAUAAGAUUUAGAAGCUGGCAGAUGACGAAGAGAUUGUUUGGGCAACCAGGACUCUUGUAUGUGACAUAAUCAAUGCUGAAGUUAGUUCAUCAUCCCAUUCCUUGUAUUUCCAAAUCUGUGAUGCUUAGGGCCUUAUCUAGUGCCUUUUACCAAGUGGGUGGGUUGUAGAAAAAAAAGGACUAAUACUCAUUUUCUUUGAAAUAUAAGCUUUUGAAAGAAUAUUUUAAAAAGAGGACUAACAUUUUAGCUUUCAUGUAAAAGUUUGAAAAAAUGCAAUUUCAGUACUUGGAAAUGAGCAUUUUAAGACUCCUUGUUGACUUCCCUUGUAUUUUAAUGCAUUUCUAGAGAGAUGUCUGCUUCUGCAUUGCUUCCCCAUGAUUUACUUCAGUUGAAAGUUCAGCCAGAUCCAUUAUUUUCUUUCUUUGACACAUUAUGCAAAUUAAAUGCAAAAUUCAGUGAUGAGAGGAAAAGGUCUCAGAGCAUUGAGCAGAUGCCGUGUCGGUAAUAGAGUAAGGCAAUUACAAAAUUACUUGCAGCCACUGUGACUGUGUAUUUUCCCGUAUUCUGAAAAGAAAUCUGUCAUGUGCUCAUCACUACGAGAUUUAUUUUUCCAUUGAUGUGUGGGAGAUUUAUGCAUUUAACUGUCGUACACAUUGAUGAGAGAAACAUGCACCUACAGAAAUAAUUUUUUAUAGAUUAGUGAGAUAUUUAAUUCUGACUUUCUUUUCCACUAAAAUGAUCCUUUGUAAUAGUCUUCUCUUCGCCUGUAUUGUAAGUAUGAACAUCAGAAUGGCUCAGUAAGCUGGAAGAGCAAAACCAUGUCUGUGUGUAGAAUUCCAAUGCCAAAAGAGAAAUACCACUUAUCUUCCACUUCUAUAAAUAAAGGCAAUAGCAAAGUCAUUAACAAGAGCAAGGGGUGAAUUCAAUGAUCUCUAAGAUUUUUUUCCAGCUAAAAAUGAUAUGAUUCUUAUCUAUUACUAGGAAAUAGUGGUAUUGAAGUAGAAUUAUGAGCUCUACAUUCAGUCUACUUUUCACAUCGGAUUGUCAUCUCAUUUUUGGAGGGUAAUUCUCUUUAGAUUCUCUAGUCCUAAGCUGUAAUAUGUCUUAUAGUUGUCAUAUUUUAGUGAACAAACCAGAAAAAAAGAUUGCCUGCAUCAUAUGUAAUUUUUGUUCAAUCCAAGGGCAAUAUCGUAGAAUACUUGACUCAUAGUUUAAAAUGAUCAUUUUUAUUGAGUUCAAAUUAAGUCUUCUGUAGAUAUAAUAAUUAUGUGAAUCAAAAAUAUGUAUUUGUGUGAAGAAAUGCUCUUUCUUUUCAGGCUUGCCUUCAAAAAAAGUUAGUCUCAUACUGAAUGGCAAUAAUUUCUUCUUCCUGCCUCCUAAGAAUACAUUGAGGAUAUAAAAUUAUGAGACUAGAAUGCUCUUAUUUCAAAAACAUUCACAGUAGGCAUUGGCCUGAGCAAUAAUUGUGAAUGUUUCAUAUUUAGAGAAUGGGUAGAUUAUUAAAUAUGAACUAUGAAAAUUUCUACCCUUCUGGUUUUUCUGUGGGAUAUAAUCCUCUGGUCUUAAAAAUUAAUUUUAGUAAUGGAUUUUCACAAGUUCCCUUGGAGAGCAUGCUUGGAACAUUUUUGUGACAUACACUCUUGAGGUUUUCCUUCUAAAUUUCUUUUCAUCACUCAUUUUGACUUUCAGAUUUCUUAAAUAUUUGUUAUUACGUGUAUCUUUGUAAAUAAAAGUGAGGCUUAAGAAGUUUGACUUUGUUUUAGGAUGGAACCUUGUUAAAAGUACAAGCACACAUGUGUUGACAGCAGCUAGAGGAAGCGUGAUAGUGUGGAAAGAAACAGAAGUCCAAAGACCUAGGGGUACAUCAAGUUCCAUUAUUUAAUUGUCAUCUUUGUCUUUGCUACUGAAAGUAUGGUCCACAGACCAUUUGCAUCAGCAUUGCCAGGGAGCUGGUUAGAAGGGAGAAUCUCAGGCCCCUUCUAGACUUACUGGAUCAGAGCCCGCAUUUUGGCAACAUUACCAGGAACUCAUAUACACACUCAAAUUUGCCAGGCUCUGAACUCUAUAAUCUCCAGCAUUCUGAUUUCUCCAAGUCCCUCCUUUCUCAUCUUUGAAACAGAGUAAUUUCUACCUCACAAGUCUAGUCGAGAAUUAAAUACAAACAUGUAAAGCUGCUGUGUUCGGUGCCUGGCAUACAUGGCUGUCCCCCAUUCCUGCCAACACACACCUUCAAGCAAGACAACUUGAGAGAGGCUGAGUGGGAGAGAGGGUGAAUAAAUGUUAAUAACUCACAUUAGAGUUGGCAUUUUUUUUCUUUUUACUUGUCUCUAUUAUAUAGGGUGACUGUAUUAAUUGUGCAAUACCUUUGCUUUUAAAUAAUACUACUGGGAUAAAAGUGAGAUUCUAAUCUCACAUAUUAUUUCAAGAUAAGGUUCAGAUACAGAGUUUUAAAGAACCACCUAUAAAAAUCAAAUCCACAUAAAUUCAGAGGAAAAUAUCCUCAAUGCUUAUAUAAUAUUGGAUGUUUAGGGUGAUACCCUCUAAGCACAACUUCAAAGGAAGAAAUCAUUAGGGAAAAUACUGACAUAUUUGAGUACAUAUAUGUUUUAAAAUUUAAUUUACUUGAAAAGGAAUGAAGAUAAUUAAAAAGGAAGUCACAAAUUGAAAAAAAUUAUAUGCAUAGACAAAGAGUUGAUAAAUUUAACAUAGAAACAGGUUUUACAAGACAAUAAAAGGAUAAAUGUAAUGAUUUUCAAUAGAUAUAAGACAUUAAUAGGUGGGCAUGUAAAAAAUGUCAAGAUAACAUGAAAAAAUUAGUUUUACUACUCAUAAAAGACAUGCAAGUGAAAACAACCAAGAUGCCAUCUCCAGUCUAUCAGAUUUCUCUAAAAAUGAGAAAGCGCUCAUAACCAGUGAAGGAGAAAAGGAUCUGCUUUCAUCUUGGUUAAGAUAUACAUUGCAACAAUAUUUAUGGGAAAUUCUUUGGCUAUAUCUAUCACUAUGAAUUUAUGCAUACAUUUUUCACCCAAUAAUUAUACUUUUGAGAAGUUAUCCUAAGGAAUUAAUCUAAAACUGAAAUGAUACAUGUUCAAAAUUUUCAUUAAAGAAAACCACCAAACUGUACCAUAAUGGGAACUAUUCAUAAAUAUGUAAAUUAUGUCCAUAUGAUAGAAUACUAGGCACCCAUUAAAUCAUGUUGUAAACAAUAUUUUUAUUGAAUUUUUUAAUUGAAACCAAAAAAGAGCAAGAUAAACUCAGUAUACAUAGCAUGUCAUUUUUGCAAAUGUGUAUGCAAAUGUGUAACAUGUAUAUUUUUAAGAUUGGAAGCUGGUACACUAAAAGUGAAUGUUAAUUCUGGGUUAUGUUUUUCCCAAAUUUUUGCCUGUUUCUGCCCUGCCUCUUUGAUUUUAACAUUGAGCAUACAUUUAUAGUUUAAAGACUGUUAAAAGUGGCACUUAGAUAUAGCUUAAAAAUAAUUUUAAUAGCACAGGGAAAUUAUUUUAUUAAUGCUAGUUAAAUUAGACGAAAAUAUAAAAUUUUAAUGGCAGAAAUAUUUCAAUUUAUAACAUAUGCAUAGGAAACUGAAAAGAGUAGUUAGCUCUAAAUAUGGGGAUUAUGGAUAAAUUUUAUAUUCUUCACUUUUUUAUUUCAAAAUUUUUAUAAUUAGCUUUAGGAUUUUUAUAACCAGAACAAAUUACAUUUAAGACUCCCUUCUAAACUUAUUUGCUUAUUUUCAAUCUCAAAUUGUGAAUUUGUAUGGCCUCUAUAUUUCCAAUCUAAUUUUACAGACAUUAAAUUUCUCUUGAAAUUCAGUGAAAAAUUAGCAGAGUCGAAGUUACACUUCUGUAUGGCAUUUAAAUUCCUCCUCCCAGAAUACAGCCACUGUUCUACAGUACAGAGGAGUCCUUCAUAUCACGAUUUUCAUUGUGUCUAAGAGGCAUGUGUUUCCACUUUGUCAUUAUUUGGUCUAAAAGGAUUUUUCUUCUAUUUUGCUGCUGUUUUUGUACAAGACAUAUAAAGAAAGGUGUUAAGGGAGUGUUAAAUAUAAUCAAGGUGUUAAGGAGAAGAGCCCAGAGAGAGAACUCUUAAUCUUUUCAUCUGGUCCAGUUGUCAAAGUCUUUUGUCUUUAGCCAUCACUUUUUUAAUCAGAGACAUAUAAUCUAUUAACUAUGGGAACAAGAACCACAGAUUUAGCCUGUGCUUAUCUGGAAACCUCCCCUAAAAUACUACUGAACGACUCUUUUUUUUUUUAUUCCUGUCUCUUUUUCUGUUGCAAACUGAUUGUCCACUAUAACCUGGAGAGGGGACUCAAUUUUUAGAAACUGUCUUAUACACCUCUUAAUUAGUUACCUAUUGCUGCAUAUACCCAAAAUUUAGCAGCUUAAAACAAUAAUGAAAUUUUAUUAUGCCCACAGUUUCUUUAGGUCUGUAGUAAUUUAAGAGAAACUUAGCUGGGUGAUUAUAGCUGACUCUCUCAUGAUAUUACAGUCAUAUACAUCAGGACUGCAUUCUUCUGAAUACUUGACUAGAGCUGGAAGAUUCACUUCCAAGAUGGCUCCCUCACAUGGCUGGCACAUUAGUGCCUGCUGUUGGGGGGAGACUUCAAUUCUUUGUUGGGUGGUCUUCUCCAUGGGGCAGCUUAAGGAUCUUCAUGGUUUGUGGGCUGUUUCACAAAGUGUGCGUGAUCCAUAGGAGAUUAAGGUGGAAGCUGCAAUGUCUUUUAUGAUAGAGCCUCAAAAGUCACACAAUGUCAUUCCCAACGUAUCCUUUUUUUCACAUAGGUCAGCCCUACGCAAUGUGAGAGUGAGGAAGGGACUACAGAAAAGAAUGAAUUCCCAGAGAUGAGUAGGAUCAUAUUGGGUGCCAUCUUGGAGGCUGGCUACCAGUGAAGAAGACUGCUUUCUGGCCCUCAGUGAUUUACUUCCAUCUCACAUGCAAAACAUACUCCCUUUAUUGUGGUUCCCAAGAGUCUCAUUCUAUUAUGGCAUCAGCUCGAAGUCCAAGAUCUUAUCAUCUAAGCCAGGUGUACUAGUUUUCUUUGCUGUCUAACAAAUAAUUUAAAAAAUGUAGCAGCUUAAGAUAACACCCAUUUACAUGUCACACCUCUGUAGGUCAGAAGUGUGGGCAAAGGGUAGCUGGGUUCUUAGCUCGAGGUUGAAACCAAGGUGUUAGCCAUGGCUGCGGUCCUUAUGUGGAGCUGAGGGUUCUCUUUCAAGCUCAUCCAGGUUGUUGGCAGAAUUCAGUCACUUGUGACUGACAGACUGGUGUUCCUAGAGACCACCUGCCAUUCUGUACUGCGUAACCCUCUUCACAAUAUGGCAGUUUACUCCUUCAAGGCCAACAGAAGAAUCUUCCUACUGCUUGGGUUCUCUGACUUCAUUUGACCCUGACCUCUAAACCCAGAUUUAAAGGUUUUAUAUGAUUAUAUCUGGCCCACCAGCAAAAUAGUCCUUUUUAUUAACUCAAAGCCAGCUGUUUAGUAACCUUAAUUAUAUCUGAAAAAAACAGAAUCAAAGGAGUGGUAUCUCGUAGUAUUCACAGAUUCUAUCCACACUUCAGAAGUGGAAAUUACACAAGGCCUGAACAUGAGGAGAUGGGAAUCUUAGAAUCUGUCUAACAUACCAGGUCUAUGUGCAAAUAAGAUCAAUCUCUGUUAGUUUACUCUUAUGGGGUAAUUAAUUACCCCAAAACUUAGUGGCUUAAAACAAUAGCAUAACUAACUUCUCAGUUUCUAUGGGUCAAGAAUUCAGAAGCAUCUUUCUUCAGUGGUUAUGGCUUUGGCACUCAUAUGAAGUUGCAGUUAAGAAGUCAGUCAGGGUGAUAGAAAUAUAAAGGCUUGACUGGGGCUGGAGGAUGUGCUUCUAAGGUGAUUUACUCACAUGAUCAAGUUGGUAUUGGCUGUUGCAGGCAGGUCUCAUUUCUUCCGCAAAUGAAAUGCUCUCCAGGCUGCAUGAGUGUCUUCAUAACAUGGUUGCUGAUUUACAUUGGAUGGAGAGAUCAAAGAGGAUGAGAGGAAAGCAGCAAUGUGUUAUAGGACCCAACUUCAAAAGUUACACAUCAUUGCUUCUGCCCUAUUCUGUUGGGCAAUCCUGAUGCAAUAUAGGAGGCACCAUGAAUAGCAGGAGGCAAAUAUCAUCUGGGCUUUCUUGUUAACCUCAGUUAACAACAACAAAACAAAUAUUUAAAAAACUAAAGGAAAGAGAUUUCUGGAAUAUUUCCAUUCUCUGUCAUGCCCACUGCCAUAGUCUACUCAAGUUCUCAUCUCCUAUUGGACCUCUGCGGUAGCUUUAUAAGUCCUGUCCUUGUUUCCAAUGUCAUCCCUUUCAAAACGCUUCAAAUAGCCUCCUUAAAGCCAUGACUCCUCCCACGGUUAUAACCCUGCAGGUAAAGGCACUUGAGGACAUAAUCUGUACCAUCUCUGGCGUCAUCCCUUUCAUUCCCCUUCACCUCCCCCAACUAUUUUUGUAUUUCAGUCAUGCUGGACCUCUUAAUGUUUCCCCAAAACAUCCUAAGCAAUUUCACGUCUCUAUGCCUUUUCUUUUCCUGUUCUCUUUGCCUGAAAUAAGAACGACAGAUAAUAGUGACUAUGCAAGUCCUAAAAUCGAGGCAGCCACAGUGCUAAAUCACACAUUGGAUAGUUCAAUUUUAUUCUUAUAACAACCCUUUGUGGUAAAUCUUAUUACCAUGCUCAUUUUACAAAUGGGCACUCCUAACCCGAUGUGCAUAAUGAUUAAAAACAUAGACUCAAGAAAAGUUUGGAGGUUCUGGCGUAACCCUCUUUGUUAUUCUCUAUGCAACUAGCUUAAAAAUAACAACUUUGAUUAUUCUAAUCUAUUAACCAGUUUUCAGUGUGUCUGACCAAAUCAGUUGAAUUUUAUUUUUUUAAAUAUGUGUGUGUGUGCAUGUGUCAGUAUGUACGUGUUAAAGAGUAGAGGGAGGAAGUUGAAAAUCUGACAUUUGAUUUAUUUCUCCUGGGACAAAGGAAGUUUGGAUAUGUCAAACUGCUGGCUAAUCAACACGUUAAUCAAUGCAAAUCUCUAGUAUGGAUAUAGUUAUAUUUUGCCCCCCUCUUCCUUUCCAAACUUCUUUCCAGUCUCAUGACCAGCUUAUUGGCUUCAUAUUACCAAGUAAAUAUAUCAACUGCCCAUAUGUAUAGUACCCAGACAAUGAGAACACUGCCUAAAUAUUGUGUUUUCAAUACUACUUGCUUUUAGCAACAAAUCAUAGCACCCAGCCUAACUUUAAAAAUUCCAUGUCAUCCAACUUCAAACUAUAACAAAAAUUGAGUUUUACAGAAGAGUUUCAAAACAUUUUUAUGCAUUAGACACUUCAGAAAUUAUCUCUUAAAAACAAAACAAAAUAAAUAAGGGACAAAAACAAUAGAAAACGUCAGGCACCAAACUGUGAACUCUCUUUUGUCCAUGUAUGAUUUAAAAAAAAAAAACUCACUGAUGGUAAUUUAAGAAAUUUGACCUUUAGGAAAAUCAGGCUGAGGCUCAUCUUUGUACUUUUUAAAACAAGUCAAUAAAACAUAUAAAUAAUAGAGAUGAGUGCAGCUCACAGGGGACACUCAUAUUUUCUAGGAGCCUGUGGAUAUAAACAAUGAAUUUCAUGAACACAGAGCACAUUUCUACAUGAUCUCCUUUUCUUUACAAGUUAUUUAUGUUUUACUGGAAAUAUUAAAACUUCAUGUCUCUUUGUUGCUCUUGUUUCUUUAAAUUUUUAUUUUUAUCAUCAGUCAUUGUUCAAUAACUCAAAAUCAUAUAAAAUAAAACAGUUUCAACAUCAUUCCGUACUCAAGAUGAUCUCUAUUAAAUAAUGAUUUUUUUCUUGAAAAAGCAUUCUAUAAUUUUUUUUAGUUUUCCAGAUGACUAUUUAAACCAAAUGUUUAAAUGAAUGAUUAAUGAGUCUUUUAUCUUAUUUAUCCCACCUGCCUACUGCAAAAAGACAUGAAUUUAAUACAUUUUAGAUUUUAAACAGUUGUAUAUCUGUAAAAAAACAAUUUUUACAGGUUUCAUAUUCUGGACACUAGAAAACACUUCCUCCUCACAGCGCCGAGUUGUAUGAAAAGGCAGCUCAAUUGUCUUUCCUUGAGCAGCCUUGUGUGCCUGGGUAUUCCCUUCCAUCUCUCACCCAUGGAGUUCAUAUUCCUGUUCUCAUGUCACCACCUCUGUCAACGAAAUAGGCUCUGCCAUUUCUCAAAUUUUAUGGAGAAUUAUCCUGAUGAGUUAAGGCAGAGGUUGAAAACUCGCAGCCCUUGCUCCAAUUACAGAUUUUAUUUUUAAAACCCAGUGUUUUUUAAAAAAUCGAGGGAGUUUACACAAAAAUUCAUGUUUUCUGUUUCUCUAGAAAACAGCAAAUCUGGCAACACCCUGCUCACAUUCCCACCUACCAAGAAUGCUGCACAUUAAAUGGUGGCUUUUCUUUAGGUGACUCUAAUUCACUGGGGUCUCCAUGUGACGUUUCAGCCUUUGCACCCUACUUGUCCGCUGCAGGCCCAGGAGCUCUCUACUCCUCAUAUGCAUUACAGGACCCCAUGCACAUUGAAGAUGUUUUCUCAGGCAGAGCAGACACCAGGCAAAUAUCUUCUGGUCUUAGGAGCAAGUCUUCUGAGAAUCAAUGAUGACAAAUAUCUUAAAUGGUCUACUCGAUGGUUCUGAAAAUGUAAGAGCUAAACUACCUGUAUCAAAAUCAUCUUGGGGGCUUAUUUAAAACAUAUAUGAUAAGGCCCCACCUCAAACCUAAGGAGUCAGAAUUUCUACGGAAAGGCUUGGGAAUAGGAACAUUAACACAAGCAUCCCGGGUGGUUUUUAUGAAACAAAGCUUGAGAAUUAUUGAAUUCUUCUCCGAUCUGACAGCUCUUCUCCUGGGCAGACCCAAUUAGAGGGAACUGAUGAGUUUUAGGAAAUACUGUAAUUCUAACUCAUCAGUCCAGCAGUGCUGAAAAUGCAGAAUUUUGUCCUUAUCAAAAGCCAAUUAAUGCUAACCUUUUCAGUGUGUGUCCAGUACCACCAUCGGUAAGGUAAAUAAACAGGCAGUUUUGCAUAUAAUCUAGUGAUUUUUAAUUUAGUUUUUUCCCUUACUCAUCCUAAAAAAAGCAGGGAGUCAUUGGGCUUUUGUAUCUAUUUUAGCUGAGUUAUUAUUUUAACCCCUAUCUUUAGUGCAGAAUUAAAAUAUCACCCUUCUAUUUGCUUUUAUUCCUAAUAUCUGAAUGGUUUCAGCUUGACGCAAUUAGCAUGUAGAGCAUGCUCACCUACUGUAAUCUCCCAGAUGAGUCACUCAGCUCCAGCACAUAACUGCUUCUGGGAUCCUGUUGGCUAACCAGGCUUUGAAACCCAGGGAAAAGAACUGUGUGUUUUCUUCAGAAGUAAUCCAUAAAUGAGAAAUUACCAUAAAUAGGCAGUUUUAUUCACUCUAAGUGAUUUUUACAUAAAAACUGACAAGGCCGUAAAUUGUAUAUAGAAUCAGGUUCCAUAUCCACACAGCUAAUGCACACAUGAAUUAUUCGAUGAAAUUUGCUUCAGUAGUAUUAUCUGAAAUUGGUUUCAGACAAUACAUUAAAUGUUACACAUUAUGGUAAAUUUACUGUAUUUUUGUUCCAGCCACGUCUUGUGUUGGCAAAUCUGCUAAAUUUAAGUUUGCAUUGUAUUCACAUGUGUUGCUAUUUCCUGAGAUGUCCCAAUAUAUUUUAGCCAUCAAACAAAUAGAACUUCACCUCUCUGAGGCUCAGUAUCCACACUUGUUUAUCAUGCAAGAGACAUGCAGGUGAGAAAAUAGGCAACUGCCAUUCUAUCUGUGAUUGCUGUUCAUGGAAGAAGUAAAAAUGAGCUGGGACAAUAUAUAGGUGGCGCCAGGGAUGGCUCCUUGAAGGAAGUGAUCUCACAGCUCAGACCUGAAAGCUGAGUGGAAGUUACCAGAGGAAAAGAGAAAGGGAAUGCAUUGGUUUUCUAUUGCUGGGUCAGAAACUACCACUAACUCAGUGGCUUAAAGCACCAUUCAUUAUCUCAUGUUUUCCCUGGGUCAGGAGUCAGGUGCGUAUCAGAGUCUCAAGAGGCUGACAUCAGGUGUUUGCAGAUGGCAUUCAUGUCUGGGGCUCAGGGUCCUCUUUCAAGCUCCUUCAAGUUGUUGGCAGAAUUUAGUUGCUGUGGUUUUAGGACCGAAGUUCCCACUUUCUUGCUGAUCACCAGCCUGGGGCAGCUCUCAGCCCCUUGAGGCCACCUGCAGUUCCUCAUCCUUUGGCAGAUCCUCUCACAACGUGGCCACUUACUUCAAGACCAGCAAGAGAAUGUUCCUCUUCAGGAAGGGCCCAACUCCUCCUUAUGGAUGUUCUUCUGAUUCAGUCAGGCCCACCCAAAAUAAUUGCCAUUUUUGGUUAACUCAAAAAUCAACUGAUUUGAGAUCCUUAAUUACAUCAGCAAAAUCCCUCCACCUUCUCCAUACAUAAUAACCUAAUCAUGGGAGUGACUGUUCAUCCUGUUCGUGAUUAGGCUCACAUAUAAGAGAAGGAGAUCAUAUAGGACAUGCAUGUAGAGGAUAGAAUCUUGGGGGCCAUCUUAAAAUUGUGCCUACCACAAGGAAGGAUUUUCCAGGCAGGAAGAACCAGAUAUAUGAAGGAGGCCUAAAUGACAGGAUAGCAAUUUCCAGUGUCUGAGGCUAAGGCUGGAAUGCUGACCUGGCCAGAUCAUGCACUGCUAGGUUUAAUGGCCUAUGCAUACUCUAUUAUGCAAUUAUUAAAAUACCUGUUUACAAAGAAUAUUUGAAAUAUUAAAAAAUGGAAAACUGCAUACCGUAAAAUAUUAAAUGGGAAAAUCAGGAUAUGUGUUUAUAUAACAUAGUAUCAGUUUUGGAAAUAUAUAUGCAUAUCUUAAAAGACUAGAAGUAAAUACAUCCAUCUGUUAGCCAUGGAUAUCUCUGGGUGAGAAAGUAUGGAUGAGUUAGAGAUUCUUUGUCCCUUUUCUUAGUUCUAAAAUUUGCCACAAUAAAUAUGUAUUCUCUUAUAAUAAUAAUUAAUUAAAAAACUAUUCAUGGUACUUGCAAAAACAAAUGAAUUUGAGCAGUCUCUUUGAAGGAAUCAAAUUUUGUACUCCAGGUGUUUGAGAGGUUGAAAAACAAGCUCAGGAAUUAGCUGCGCAUGAUCUGUACAAACAAGGGGAUCAGUCAGUGGAAAUGAAGUCCAGCUUCAGCCAAGGGUGGUGAGUAUAACAGACCUACUCUGAUAUGUUUCAUCACUAAACAUUGAGCAAGAAAUCUAGUGUUUAAAUUAUGGAGGCAUUAAAGCAAUUAACCUCCCUCUACCUCAAUUUUCUUAUAUCUAAAAAUUGAGGGGAGCAAAAUUCCAUUCUUGUCACAGGUCUCAAUUGCAAGUAGCAUGCAAGCAAGUAGGCUGAACUCUUGUCUGUCAAUCUAGCUCCUUCCUGGAUGGGGUAUUUAAUCAGCUCUCCUUCCCAAGCACCCAGUGGACUUGAAGCUCACAGUUAGACAGAGAUGGCUAGAGGUGCCAAGUGCUGUUUAUCAUAGGUGACAUCACCUGUGUGCUCAGAGUUAUAAACAUAGGCAGCUUGCCUACUGCCAAAUCCAUUACAACUUUCAGAGGUGUUCACUUAGGAAGAGGAGGAAAGAGUUUUUUGAGAACCAGAUGGGAACUUAGAAAUAAGUAACAUUGACAACCAAAUCCUUCAGACACAUCUUCAAGUUUCAAGAGAGCAGUUAACAAAAAAGAAAAAUGUAUUUUUAGAAAUUGUUUGGGAGGUGAAAGGAUUUUUCUGGGGGGGAGUAGGGUAGGGAAUGGAUAGAGAUGAUUUUUUUUUGGCUCUGCAAUAUCUCAGAGAUCUUUGAGUUGAAAUAUAACAAAAUGUAUUUCCUCUCUCUUGCUCCAAAAACUGAAAAGCAAGUGCACUAGAAAAUGUCAGAGUUGGCCACUGAACAGACCAUAUUUCUAAUUCAUGGCAAGAUGGCUAAAAUAAAAAUUCUUGAAAUACGUAUUUUAAAAUUAGAUUUUGACCUUUGAUAGGGCUUAUCAUGCUAUUUAUAUUGUAGCAGAAGGAACUGAUUUUUUAGUAGUUGCCUCAUCAAAGACAUGACUCACAUUUCCUUAAGCAUUUACACCAUAUGUUUCCUGAGGUAAAAAAAUAAAUAAAUAAAUUUUAUAUUUUUUAUACAAUUAGUGAAAUGUGAGCAAAAAAUAUAAGAAAUCAUUUAAAAAAUAUUUUGGGGAGGAUGUGGUCUAGAAAUGUUGUUUUCUAGAAAUUGAAAUUAUGUUAGCUAUUUGGCCAGUGUAGCCAUUAGGUACAUUUAUGAAUAUAGAUGAGAAGUAAUCAUUGUGAUGCUAGUUUUAUCAUUAAGGAAAAAAGCAGAAUUCAAAAGUUUAGCAAUGAAACACAGGUACUACUGAAACUCACUUUAUAUUUGAAAAUGUGAAUGUGAGUUUAAAAAAGCUUUUGUUAGACUAACUGAAAAGAAUCAUUUUAACAUUUAAAAAGAAAAAUAUUAUUUUAAGUGACAUUUGGUGACAUUAUUAUAUGUGUACAAGCUGUGACUAUAAGAUAAUGAGACAAAUUAUUAUGUGGCCAGUGGAAAUUAAAUUUAUCUUUAUGAUUACUAGCAACAGGGACUAUUUUAUUCAACUAUCUUUACAUAAUACAAAAUUAUUGUAAAAUUUCUAGGAAAUUCAUAUUCCACUUAAAAUAUGAGGAAGUACAUUUGGAAAAAAUAUUAACAUAUGAAAAUCAGCAUCCCAGUUAAGGAAUCCCCAGUUUCCCACUUGGUGCUCAAAUCACUUCACGUUUUAUUUCAUUGGUACUUUUUCUAGGGCAGUAGAUUUAGGAAUAGAAAACAGACUCUACACAUGGAAUACACUAAAGUCUUGAGGAGGUGUGAUAUUUCCCUAAGUUUGGAUAGGUGGUAUCAUCCUUUCAGUCACUCUUGACUCUGCAUUAGACUCUCUACCUAAUGAUCCCCAAGUCAUUUCACUUCUGCCUUCUUAACAUUUUGAAGAUGUCCUCUAAAAUUUCAAGUCCCACCAUCUCUGCCUCCGAACUCACCUCCCUGACUUUCAGUCUUGAAGCACCUUAACAACCCCUCCCCUCCUGUGCAUGUUCCACCUGGAAACCAGGGUGAUCACUCUGAAAUGCCAAUCUGAUCAGUCAUUUCCCUACUUUUGAACCUUCAAUAACUUCCUAGCACCUAUUCCUAGAAACCAUUCCAACAUAUCACCUAGGCAAAGGAAACCCUUUUCUUACCUGGCUCCUACUUAUCCCUCCAGAUUCACCUUUUGACACCUCCCACUUCAUCUCUCUGCAGCCCCCUUCCUGCACACACACGGAGUUUCAGUCUUGCCAAACUCUUCGCAGCUUCUUGAGUGGACCUUGCUCUCUGCACUACAAUCUCUUUCUGCCUAGAGAGUCCUUUACCUCCCCCAAUCUGGUUAACUUCUACUGUUUAUUUAAGUCUUAACUCUAAGUAGAUGUCAUUUUUGAGGAUGCUCUCUCUGUUCCCACUUUGGAACUUGGGCUUCUCUGUUGUCCUGGUGUCCCGUGUAUUCCUCUGUCAUAGCCCUCAUCUCAUUGAAUUGUAAUCAUGUCUUCACUAGUGUUUCCUUUCUAGCAUGAUAGAUUUUUGUAUUGCCAGUGACCCCAACAAAUUCCCCAGGUCCUAGCCCUGUGACUGGAACACAGUAGGCAUUUAAUAAUAGUUGACAAAUGAGUUAGUAUAUGUAAUGAAAAAUCUACCUGCCUGAGCAUUAGGAAAUAUAAAAUUAAUCUAAACUUUGCCACUUUCUGUAAUAUCUGUGUGUCAGUCAGGAAUGCUUUUGGCUGCAAGAAAACCCCACUGACAGUCUUUUAAAACAAAUAAGGAAGUCUAAAAGGAGUCAGAUGCUGGCCUUGGUUCAAUACAAUGUUAGAGGCAGCAUCUCAGUGCUUCUCUAAUGGUCACAAAAUGACUACAGUAACUCCUUCCCUCACAUCCACUUCCAGUUCAAGAAGCAGAAUGAGAGACAGCAAUAGCCACCCUGUUUCUUCAUCAAGAAAGCAAAGAUAUCUUAGAAGUCCCCACUGUCCUUCAUUUACUUCUCAUGGGCUAGAAUUAUCUCAGUGGCCACCCCAAGUGCAAGAGAAACUAGGGAAAUUAGUUUUUAGCAUUCCCACACUCUAUGUUGAAAAUGAGUAAGAGACAAUAAUUUGGGGAAUAGGUGUGGGAUUAGUCAGCCAACAGUGUUUGCUACACCUUGGGACAAAACAUUUUACCUCUCUUACUCUUUGAUUCUUUCAUUGAGUGAAGAAUUAGAAUAAGUAAUCUUUCUUCAAGAAUCAAUUUUCUCUCAUCUAUAACUCCCAUAUAUUCUUAUUUCCAAAAUGGAAUUACCUUCUACACCAGACAGUUACUUCAAGCUUUUCCCCUGAAUAUUUCACAUUUCCAGAAAGCACUAUAUUACAAAGAAGCCCUUCCUUUUCAAGAACUCUAUUUGCCAUAAUGUUCUCCCUAACAAGGGCUGAACAGUACGUGCCCAGAUUCCCUGCCUCUGACCUCACCACACCCUCUUCUGUGUGGCGGUCUCUCAAAUUGUUUAGGACAAUUAUCAUGACUUCUCUAAAUCUCCCUUUUUCCAGGCUCAAAUUCCCUAUGCUUCAGUAGUUUUUCAGAUAAGCCCCUUCUGUCCCUUCACAACCCUGGUCAGCCAACACCAGACAUACUCUCUUCAUUUACUUAUGAUUCAUUGAACAGAUAAUCACUGAGUUCCUGCCAUGUGUCAGCACUGCUCUAGGAGCUGGUGAUAUGGUGAGAAACAAGGAAGGGAAGGCCCCUCCUCUCAUGAGGCUUACAGAGGAGCAAAGGAAUCAGAUGAUAAGAUAAGCGUUACACACACACACACACACAGAGGAUCAUUUCAGAGAGUGAUUCGUGCCAAGAUGAAAAUGACAAAGGGAGAUAGGAGAGUGACAAGGGAUGUGUGUGUGUGUGUGUGUGUGUGUGUGUGUGGCAGUGCACGUGUGAAACUAGAAGACAAGCCUUCAGAUGAUCAGGGAGGUUUCUCUAAGACCUGAAUGGGGAUAAUUAACUAGCAUGGAAGAGGAAGAGGUUUUGAAGCAGGAGGACUUUGUAAGUGAAAGGCCCUGGGUAGAAUGAGCUAGACCUGAGCCAGGAAAAAAAAGAUGCUCAGAGGGGGAAAGUGUUGGAAGAUGGCCUGAUAAUGCACAUGGGGAGCCCCCCACCACAAGCUCAUGUAGGACAGGACAAGAACUCAGAUUGUAUUCUAAAUGACAGUAUUUCAAUACCCAUCUUAAAAUGUGUCUGGACAAAACUUAACACUUAGCUACACAUAUAGCCUGACUGGAGCAGUCCAGUUUAUAACCUCUCCUUGUAGUGGGCACUGUAUUUCUAUGGAUGCAAGCUACAGUUAUAUGACUUUUGUGGAAGCCAUGCUAUCCCCACAGUUCCACUGUGAUUUCCUAUAUGCUCUUUGAUGCACACUGCUCACAUGCAUGAAUAUUACUUGCACAAAGAGAGAGAGUAGGUGGAUGUGAUGCCAGGAGCUAUUAGAAUGAUUCACAUUACACUUCCACCAUAUGAAAAAUAAUGUACAGUCUAAAGCAACACUGCAUCAUAUCAUCGAGCAGCUUGGGAAAGCCUAAAUUACAUAUUUGAAGUUCAGUCAGUCAUUGAAAUUAGAUAAUCUGGAUGGUCCUGAAAGUGUCUUUCUUGAGAGCUUUCCUCCAAAAGCAAAAUUGAAUGGUAAGGAAAAAAAUGAAGUACAACAAAAAUGACAGCAAAAAACCUGAAAAACAAAAAACAAAAAACAAACAAACAAAAAACCCCAAAAACUGAGUAAUAUCAACCAGGCAGGAGUUGAAGGAGAGAAGCCCAACUGUUGGUAGAUAACUUGGGAUGAGCCAAUUAAAUAUUGGUCUUCUCUCUCUCAGAGGCCCUAAUUGCAUUCCCUCCAGCAGCCACAGGCCUGGGGUUUUCCCCAGGCCUGUGGCAUUCAGACAUCAGAGCUGAGAACUCCAGUGACCACCAGGCUGCAUUUUAAUGCUAAGCUGGGAGCACUGAUACUCUCCAAGACAGCCUUGCAAGCUCCAUCUUCCACUGACUCAACGUUCAGUGGAACGUUCAGUGUGUUUCAUCUGCUGUUCAGUCAUGCAGGCAGCAGGGAUCCUGAGGGCUCUCCUCCCCAAUAUGGUACCAAGUUUUGAUUCAUCCUUUUCCUCUUCCCUAUCAGCAGGUAUUCUAGAAGACAGUUUUAUGAUGACAUUCACAGCUAGCAUUAAAACCAGAUAAAAAUAAAACAGGAUGUCAAUAAAGAACUAAUGAUGUGUGUCUGUGUAAAUGUAUAAUAAUAAUAAAAAGAAUAGACAUCUGUUUGUCAAGGUACCAUUUAAGGCCUUGGGGCUUUAAAUGAAACUGCUUUAUAAAUGCACCAACAUAUGUGACUGUUUGCCUACGUCUUUCAUCCAUGAAAAUUGCCCUGUAGACAGUUGCCUUUGAGGUGAAAAGCAUUCUAUAGGCACUAAAUAUUAUGCUAGAACACCUCUAAGUGCUAAUCUAACUACCUUCAUGACGGAAGUUUCAGGAGAACAAUUUAAGGGUCAUGGAAAAAAAGUGUUAAACGAGUUGGUAAUCUGACAUUUCCUAAAAACUAGAUUCAAAACCGAAGGGAAAGUAGAGAGAGGAAUCAAAACUAGCCUAGUAGGAUGGAAGUAGGCCUCCCUCCUUGGAGGUGUGAAAAUGCCUGGAAUAAUUUAGGCAAGAAUGCCAACUGUCAGUGAUGACCUUGGUUUAGGGGCAGUUAUAGCAUGGUGGAAACACCCCUGGACUGGAGAUCCGGCAUCCCUUAUGGGGAUAUGAAAGAAAUUUGGCAGGUCUCUUAACCUCUUUGACAUUCCUUUCUUCUUUGUUAGGUAAGAAGCUGGUGCUGGUUCAGUGUAAUUUGAACUGUGUUCUGCAUGACUGUAGGGUUCUGCUUAGUGCCACGUGGAGGUGGGGAUGCCUUGGGUGAAGAUGAAGGAGGUGUAGUAAGCAGGUGGGGCUCUGCACUCUUUUUACUCUCCUUCUUCCAGUAUCAUCAGAACAACUCCACUUUUUUGUCUUUAUACACUGAGUUAUUUAUAAAAUCCUAGUUUUUUUAAGUGUCAAACAAUGCUUGAUUAUGAAAUGAUAGCAUUAUUCUAGCAUUCUAACUAAAGUGUGUAAAUUAUAAACAACUAUCUUUAAUGGUCAACAAAUUGUCAUCAUUACUGAGCAGUGUUGUUAGUAACACCAAGUAAUACAAUUAAUGAAAUCCUUGAAAGUAGAACCUAUCAGUGAGCCAUGCAUACAACUGAUAAGCUGUGGAUAAUGUAUAGAAGAAUGAGUUCAUUUGGUAAUUAUUUGUACUUUUCAAAAUAUUGGUGAACUUUCAUCUUUAAGGAGCAAUGGUGUCCUAGUUAUUCUUGCCACAACUGCAUGGAAACUCUCGAAUCUGUUAGUAUGUCCUUGGGCACAAAAACAGUAUUUUUUGGAACUGCUCAAAAAUUAUGUAGUUUUGUAGACAUUUAGGGAAAAAUCUCAUAAUUUAUGUUAAACACUCAGUUGUCUUGGUGUUGAUUGAAAGCAAAUAAUACGUGCUUAACAUCCUGCUAGUUGCUGAGGGAGAUUCAUUCAUCAUUUUAGAAAAUGUUUCUGGGCAUCAGUCAUAUAAUAAACACUUUCCCAGCACUUGGCUUCACAAAGGAACAAAACAGACAAUGCACAUUCCUGCCCUAGUGGAGCAUAUAUUCUAGAUGACAGACUGAACACCUAGACAUAUAUGACAAGCUCUUUCUUGCAAGGAGAGUCCAGUUAGGAAAAUGUCAACACCUAAAACAGUUAAAGGCUAAGAUAGCUUCUGUGGACACUAAGUGCUACAUAGUAGUUCCAGAGGAGGCAGAGAGUUAGACCUGGCUAGACACUGGACAGGGGGUAGAAUUAGACAGAUAGUUCCUGGCUUGGUGCCUGGUACAUAGUAGUUGCUCAAUAAAUAUGUGUUGAAUAAAUGAAAAACCAGGACUGACUGAAUAGACAGUUUACACAUUUACAUAAUAAGUGUGUAAUUUAGGGAAGUGGGGUUAGAAUGAGCCUGGGUGAAGGAAGCCUUGAAUGAGAGAUGGAGAACUGUAAACGAUAAAGGUUUUGAAGUUGGGGAAAGGUGAGGGGGAAGUGAAGUGUAACAUGGAGAAGCAAAAGUGUGAAUAUUUUCCAAGAUGCCUCGACGUUAUGAUAGAUGAACCUCUGAGACAGAAUGUAGGGGGAAGAUAGAGGAAAGAGCCAAAGAGCCUCUGAGGGUGCAAAGAAGUAAAGAAAAACCAGGAUGUAUGAUGAGAAUUUUAUUAUGGAGCUAUCCAGUGUGGAUGUGACUUCUCUUCCCCAUAUCGACACAAAACACUUAGCAAAACAUUUCUCUUUCUCUCUCUCAUGCUCUCCUGUUCUUUCUCCCUCUAUCUCUAUCUCCUUUUGCUCUAUCUCUAGAUAUCUAUUAGACAGAUGAUAGAUAGACAGAUACAUAGAUAGAUAGGUAGAUAGAUAGAUAGGUAGAUAGAUGAUAGAUAGAUAGAUAGAUAGAUAGAUAGAUAGAUAGAUACAUCUUGGAAGUGGUAAGACAGAAAAAGUAGUGAGUAUAGCCUCAAAAUGGCUGCAGGGCAAGGUAAGAAGCUGAGCUCAGCCUUCAAUCCAAUCCCUGUUUACACUCUGCCUAUUUAUUUGUUUAUAAUAUACUCUGACUCCCCAUCGACAUAUUUACAUUCUUGGUAGAAGAGAUUAUUUUUGAUAUCUCUUUGUAUUUAUUUCUUAGCACCAAGAUAAUUUUAACCACUAUUUUAUUAUUGUAAAUUCUAUUGUUUUUACUCCAAAGAAAUACAUAUUUGUUGAAGAAAAAUUAGAGAUACAGAUAAGUUAGGAAAAUAAUAAUAUCAGAAAACAGGGCCAUCAUUUAAAACAUGGUUACAUAAAUAAUAAAGUACUGUGCUAAGUAUUGUAAUGAUGCUGAUGCUUUUGUAAUAAUGAUACUGAUGGUGAAGAUGGUGAUGGUGAUGAUGAUGACAAUGAUGAACACAUACCUCCCACUGAUUAUGUGUAAGGCACUGUUCUAAACCUUUGUCUAAAUUAAUGCAUGAAGUCUUCACAACAGCCUCAAUAGAUGUUAUUCUUCCUCCCUCCUAUUUAUUUUAUUUUAGCAUAUUUUAUAGAUGAGGUAUCUGAAACAGAGAUAAGCAACCUGGCCUGAGUCAUACAACACAAAGUGAUGGAGGUAGGAAAUGACCCAGACGGUCAGGCUCCAGUUUUUUGGGCACUACCAAAUUAUAUUAAUAAUACAACUCUGUAGCAGCCUGCUUUCGAGUUAUGGAAUAGUUUCUAGAAUAAGUCACACACAUAGAUUUCGAGCCCAGGACCAUCUACUCUGAGCAGAAGCUCCUACCUAACCUUGACUAUAAACUGACUCUACCAGAUAAUCACACUUGGCCUUUCUGUAAGUGAUAAGCAACUUGCCUCUGUGGGCACCUACCCUGAGAAAGGUAGUCACCCUGCUCCAUGCUCUGUUUCAAGUACAUUUAUUAUUAUUUAUGAAUUACUUAUUAACAUAAAUUUAUUAUUAUUUACGUAUUAUCCAACUUAUUAAGUGAUGUAUAUGUAUGCAGGUGUGUAUGAUUAUGAAAUACAAGAUGAAAGAACUGUAAGAAAAUAGCUUUGAAAAAAUUAGUAAUGACUGGGCCAUAGCCCAGUGAUAAGGCAUGUUCACAUAUACCAUUUCCUUUCAUGAUGGUAACAGCCCAGCAAGGUAACUGUCAUCAGGGCUGUCAUGUAUUCUAGUACUGUUUGUGUACUGAAUAAAGGCAUUUGCCUGAGGGAUGAUAGGGCUCAAAUCCAGGCUGCACUCCUCUUGAUGAUCUAUGAACCCAAGAAGAUGAGUCUACCUGGAGGGAAAGGCUUUUCCAAUAUGCACAAAGUUCCACAGAAGCUAGAGUUGUCUUGGGAAUGAUUAUCUCCAUUUUGUAAAUAAGGAAAUUAAAGAUCAGAAAGAUUGAGUAAUUUCUCAAGAAUAUGUAUCCAGCAAAUAACAAAUCAAGGACUCAAACCUAGGCCAAUAUGGCUCUCACUUCCUUUCUCCAAAAUCACUGCUAUGUCUUUCAACUAAAUUGCAUUGCUCUGUUCACUGGUACAAAGCUUGUUGCACCAUUUAAAAUUCAAGGACUAUCUGAUUGUGUAUUAUAUUUUUAGAUCCUUUCCUGAAAGCAGGUUUUAAUGGGGAGGGAGAAAGUAGCAACUGGAAGAGAGUUUUGAGAUGGUAGAUGGUAAAAUGUGCAAGCAAAUUCCCAAAAAAUCUGGGGACACAGACUUCACUGCCUUCAGAAUAAUUGAAAGGAGAACCCUUCAAGUAUGAAGCUUCAGCUGAAAUUUCAACGUGGUUUAUUUACCUAAUAUGCUGUUCAUUAAUUACAAGCUAUUAGUGACUAUUAGCCUAUGAAAUUGUAUUUACAGUUCAGAAAUGUAUUUGAUUUUCACAAGCCUUACUGGGGAACAAUGCUCAGUCAACACUUUCUUCGCCUAAAGAGUACGAUCAAAGAGCAUGAAGCGUAGUAAAUGUUUAGCCUUUGAAUUUGGAGUUUACAAAGGAUAAUUAUCCACGGGUUGGUGAAUUCAUGUUCCUCUCUACUCCACACAGCCUCUGGUUUGCAUUUACAGUUUUGCACAAUCAGAUGUAAAAUUAAAAUAUAAUCAUUCCAUUUUAAAUGGUUCCCUGUACAAUUAUCUCAUUUUAAAUCUUUUGCUAAUGUGGUUAUUCUAAUGCAACUAUGAUCAUUAUUUUAUGUAUGUAAAGAUGUCAAUACUGUCCAGCUGAUGAUAUUAUCUAAUAGUAUGUAGCAAAGCAUGUUCCCUUCCUACAGUGCCUCACUCUUUCGAUGGGUAAGAUGGGAGGUGGGAGUGGGGGGAGCAUGGCAUUAGCUGUGGAUAAUAAAGCAAAGUAAGUACAAUAGGUGUUCAAUAAAGUCAUCAUUUUUGGUACUUACGAUGUAGUUUUCUUGUUCCUUUGGUUCCUUUUGCAGUGGGUGUAUUUGCUUAGACAGAGAGAAGUGGCAGAGGGAGACUGCAUUUGUAUUUGGUUAUUUCAGAGAAAUGCAACUUGGUAUUAUGAGCCUUUAAUUCUGUAGGGCAGUCUCCAGAUCAUUUUGAUGCUGAACUUUGUCAUAAAAAACUAUUGAUUUUUUUCUUCCAAUUAUAAACAUUUGCUGGUUUCUUGUCAGUUAAUAACUGACAUAACAUUAUUUCAGACCUUUCACUUAGGGCUCUGUUGUGUGUUUCUCUUGAUCAAAAUUAUUGCCUUAGCAUAUCAACUGAAUACACAAGAGAAAAAUCAAGUUAUCUAUGUUUAUCAUAUGCAUUUUUGAAUACCUAUAUGUGAUGCUUGAGCAUAGUGGUUUUUAUAAUCCUGUAAGCGAUUUUUCAGGAGACCAGAUCUGACCUCCUCUCUCACACCCCUUUCACACUGCCUGCAACACACCACACAUACCACACACAUCACCACCCUGACCGACCAAUGGAAUCUGAGCCAACUAUAAAUCUCAAACUUGUUGAUAUUGGAUAAUGCCUGGAGGAGAAACACGGCUACCGUUCAGUAAUUCCAGAAAGAAUUUCUUCUUUAAACUCAGUAAACCCAAUGGCUUCUCAGAAAGUUCUUUCUGAGUUUUCUUAUUUGAAAUUUGAAAAUUAUUUGAAAUUGACUUAACUGACAUCACCUGUUCCCCUCUGGAUCUCCCAGUGAUUUACUGUUGACUCUUUCAAAUCCACUCAUCUCAGGGCUGGGGGACUGAGUCACAGUCUGCUUUUUCCUCCAUUGUCAUUUCCAAAUUUUUCUUCCCUCUCCUUGCUGGGGGCUGGUGCUAAGUUGACCCCAUUUUUCCCUCCUUGUGCUGUCACUCACUGCCUUUCCAGAAUCUUCUGCAUCAGGUCAGUCACUCUUUCCAACUUAAUUCCAUAUGUCAACCCAUUCAUCACCGGAGCCACGUGGUUUCCUUCACACAAAUUGUCUUCUCUGCACCACAGAUGCCAGUACACUCUGGCCCUUGCCAUCUGUCCUUAAGAUGCAACACCGGUCUGCUUCCAAAAUCCCUAGUUCAGACAGCCUGCCUUCCAGUUGCCACAUCCUGUUUGUUUCCCAGUUUAACUAUGUCACUGCCACUGCUGCUUCUACUUGUCAGACCUUCACUGACCUCUCCAUUUCCCCCAUCCCUCCAUUUCAUCCUUACGUUCCUUCCGGCCCCCAUCUCUGCUUCAACGAAUGAACCCGUUUUCAUCUGUUUUUCCAUGUUGGGAUUCUAGUCAGAUUUCCUUGAAAUUAAAGCUUUUUCUAGUAUAAACACUCAGCCUGUCUCUCUCACUUUAAAAGUGAAGA